rnacentral:rRNA from 1 species
UGGGGAAUAUUGCACAAUGGACGGAAGUCUGAUGCAGCAACGCCGCGUGCGGGAUGACGGCCUUCGGGUUGUAAACCGCUUUUUCUCAUGACGAAGUUUUUUGACGGUAGUGGGGGAAGAAGCACCGGCUAACUACGUGCCAGCAGCCGCGGUGAUACGUAGGGUGCGAGCGUUGUCUGGAAUUAUUGGGCGUAAAGAGCUUGUAGGCGGUUUGUCGCGUCGAUAGUGCAAACUCAGUGCUUAACGCUGAGCCUGCUGUUGAUACGGGCAGACUAGAGGAAGGUAGGGGAGAAUGGAAUUCCCGGUGGAGCGGUGGAAUGCGCAGAUAUCGGGAGGAACACCGGUGGCGAAGGCGGUUCUCUGGGCCUUUCCUGACGCUGAGAAGCGAAAGCGUGGGGAGCGAACAGG